UAGAACUAUCCAGUCAAUAAGGCCAGCAGACCAGGUUUGGAGCUCUGCUCAAAAAGUGCUGAUUUGAAGCACUAUCAUUAUGUGACCAUCUGGCAGUUUCCUGGAAAACUAUCAUUUGAAGGACCCAUUAUUUGACCUGACUCAGCAACUCACUGGGGAAAGCCUUAUUCCCAGGGAAUGUGCCUAAAUCAGUCAGUGACAACUAUACAACAUGUAACAUUGCAGCUGCCUGAGGCUGCAAUACCAGUUGAGGGGUCAUGAAACAUCUACUUCAAGAGUUGUUAUGCUGAUUAAAUGCAAUUAUGAAGCUCCUGAACCAGCAGUCCUUCCCGGCACAGGUUUGAACUCCUUCUUAUCAGUUGCUAGUCCAGCUUUCUUACCAUGUACCAGCUCUACUUUUUCUGAACAUUCUUUGAUCUGGAAAAUGAAAGUGAGAUGAACACGUAAGUCCAACUUUGAAACAUAACAACCCAACAGCCAGGCCAGUAAGACAUUUUGCUGCCAGAGCUACCAACAUGACAUUGGUGUCCUUUCCAACAACCUACAAUGGAAGAAAAAGGAAAACAAGACAGUCACAACUGUGUAGAAGAGUACUGAAAAACAUUCUCAAAAGAACUCUGAAAGCUACUGUGCUAAUGGAUGAUCCAUCUUAUUUCCUAUAAAAGAGGAAACCUUAUUCCUCUUUGAUAAUAAUGAAUCUAGAAGCCUU